AAUUAAAAAAUAAAAUUAUAAUUAGUUUCGACCUAAUUUCCRAAAACACAGAUUUUCUUUAUUUA
rnacentral:tRNA from 1 species